AGAAGGCCAGUGGUAACAAAAUGAAGACAAGAGCACAUAAAAACUAUCAAAAUAUUUUAUUGAUUAUCUUUCAGUACAGUAGAAAACAACCUCCAGCGGAGUUUUAUCAGAACCCAGACAAAGGAGUGACGGUGUCAAUAGAAGGUUCUUUCUCACUGCCUGCUUAUUUCCAUUCAUGUAUCGGCAUGACUCAAAAUUUACAAAAAAAUAUACAAAAUAAAAAUAGGUGUUACAGCAAAACAUAACUUUAUCAAUUCAAUCAAAUCUAAAAAGACAGUAGUAUAACUGAAAAUAUAUACUGCUCACAUGAAGUCUUGCAUUUUUGUUAAACAAUAUCAGGGGGAUUAAAAGCUUUAUGUCUGAAUGUUUUUUUUUUUUUUUUUUUACACUGGCAAAUCACACUACCCAUUUUCAAACAUUCACGCACUUCAUUUCAUUUUUUGACAGAGAUUUUUUAAAGUAAAUAAUGUAUUGUGUCCAUUUUUGAUCAAUUGGCCAAAUAUCUUUUAUUUAUAUUGUAGUGUACAACACUGUUACAUGAGACCCCUAUAACUGUUUCAGCUUCUUGACUGCUCACAACAUUGUAAGCUCAUUUAUGGCAAAAACAGAAACAAAGAUCCAGUUUGUAAAAAUGCAGUUAGUAUAGAAAAUGAAAUACGUUUAAUGCUUAAUUAUAUUUGUUUGACCAGUCAAUGAUAAUUCCUCGACAUAUGAAAUCCAAUAAAUGUAAUGUUAUAGUGGCACAUAGACAUUAAUUGUGACCUAUUUGUUUCUUAGAGUUUCUUGUUGUCUCCGGGCACUUCAUUUUCUUUCCCACAAUCUAAUGACAUGCAGGUUAGUUUGACUGGUGGCUUUGACAAGGUGCGAGUGAAUUUGGAUCAUGUGUAAGAAAGAGAAUGUGUUCCAUGAUGGACUAGUACCCUGCCCAGAAAGGACUUCUGCCUUGCUACCAAGAUAGGCUCCAACCCCUGUGACCCCCAAGUUGGAUUAAACCACUGGGAAAUGGAAUAUGGGCUUCUGUUGUAGAAACUUUUACAAAAGAAAAUUAGGAAAUAGAAAAAGCUCUUGUUAGUCCUCUUCCACUUUGUCGCUUGAGCAGAAAGGUUUACAGUGAACAUCCAGAUCUUAAGUACAGACACUCAAACAGAGGCAUUAUUAUAAACAGAUUGUUUAAAUGCGGUUUCAUUUGACAAAACUCAGCACAGCAAGAGAGUAGCAGAAGUACCAUAUAAAUGAUUGUUGCUGUGAGUGCUCCAUUGUUGGGAAUAACAUCUGAAUUUUAUGAUAACGACAGAUCUUUAAGGCUUUGCCUUUGCUUCAAUUCUUCCUUAUUUUUUAUUUAGAAUAGUAAAUAAGAUUU